CCCUGCAUUCGAAAGUGAUUGUGGUAUUAACCAUUACCAGAUCAUUGAUACUGCAGGAAGAUCAAAUCAAAAGACUUCCCCGUGUUUAUUGGAGCAUCGAUCUCCAUUAAACCUCAUAGCAUUUGGACA